UGAGCAAUCUGCCCUUCUCUUCGGAAUAAGCGUCGGAAACGACGUCUAAUGCCGAAUACGACCUCCUUUCGCAUGAUCGGAGGUGGAAAGCUCCGGCGGAGAAGGAUGAGCUCGCGGCCUAUCAGCUAGUUGGUGCGGGUAAUGGCCCACCAAGGCGACGACGGGUAGCCGGCCUGAGAGGGCGACCGGCCACACUGGGACUGAGACACGGCCCAGACUCCGUACGGGAGGNAGCG
rnacentral:rRNA from 1 species